AGAGUUUGAUUAUGGCUCAGGAUUAACGCUGGCGGCGUGCCUAAUACAUGCAAGUCGAAUGGUAGUAGCAAUACAAACCAUGGCGAACGGGUGAGUAACACGUAGGCAACCUGACUUUAAGACGAGGAUAACCGUUGGAAACGACGGAUAAUACUGGAUAGGACAUCAGAAAGGGCAUCCUUAGAUGUUUAAAGGUUAUUAUGCCACUUAGAGAGGGGCCUGCGGCGCAUUAGCUAGUUGGUGAGAUAACAGCCCACCAAGGCGAUGAUGCGUAGCCGGACUGAGAGGUUGAACGGCCACAAUGGAACUGAGAACGGUCCAUACUCCUACGGGAGGCAGCAGUAGGGAAUUUUCGGCAAUGGGCGCAAGCCUGAACCCGAGCAACGCCGCGUGAACGAAGAAGUUAUUCGUAAUGUAAAGUUCUUUUAUCUGGGAAGAAAAACAAAUUGACGGUACCAGAUGAAUAAGCUCCGGCUAACUACGUGCCAGCAGCCGC
rnacentral:rRNA from 1 species